GGGCAGAUGGCAGAGUGGUCAAUUGCACCAGACUGUAAAUCUGGCACCUAACGGUUUCGGGGGUUCGAAUCCCUCUCUGCCCA
rnacentral:tRNA from 1 species